rnacentral:rRNA from 1 species
CCUACGGGAGGCAGCAGUGAGGAAUAUUGGUCAAUGGACGCGAGUCUGAACCAGCCAAGUAGCGUGAAGGAUGACUGCCCUACGGGUUGUAAACUUCUUUUAUAAGGGAAUAAAGUGUUCCACGUGUGGGAUUUUGUAUGUACUUUAUGAAUAAGGAUCGGCUAACUCCGUGCCAGCAGCCGCGGUAAUACGGAGGAUCCGAGCGUUAUCCGGAUUUAUUGGGUUUAAAGGGAGCGUAGAUGGGUUGUUAAGUCAGUUGUGAAAGUUUGCGGCUCAACCGUAAAAUUGCAGUUGAUACUGGCAGUCUUGAGUACAGUAGAGGUGGGCGGAAUUCGUGGUGUAGCGGUGAAAUGCUUAGAUAUCACGAAGAACUCCGAUUGCGAAGGCAGCCCACUAGACUGCAACUGACAUUGAUGCUCGAAAGUGUGGGUAUCAAACAGGAUUAGAUACCCUAGUAGUC